CUGGCCUGGCUAAGAGUUCACAACAUGACACCAAAAGUGUAAGCGACAAAAGAGCAAUAUAGCCGGAUUGGUGGGAGUGUACAUCAUGACAUGUCGGCUUGAAUGGAUUAGUAACGCACAGUUUGGGGUGUGUCUGUGGUUGAUGACACGGAGGCCAGAAAGCGGGGGAAGAGGACCCGCCCUGGAUGUGGUGACACCAGCAAUAGGCUGGCAGCCUGGACAGAGCAGAAACGGGAAAGGAGGCCGUGUCCCAGUCUCCGAAGAGCCCCGGGCUUCACUGUCACCUUUGGACGCUGCUCUCCAGCUUCCUCAGCCUUCCGAGCGCACUCGCACCAGCGACCGCACCAGCUCCCAGCCCCCGCAGGUCGCAGCGUCCUCCGAGUGCAGUGGGGAAGCAACCACCCCGCUCUGAGGAAAUCCAGUUAAUGCCGCAGACUUCCCCCACGCCAGUGUGAAUUCACACCGCCUCACAUAUGCGACGCCCUCGAGGAAUCUUUAUUGAAAGAGUUACUACUGCGUCACCGGCCAGUCAGAGCAGGAACGGCGAGUACUCGGGAAUCCCGAGCGGUGAUACCUCUGCUGUGAAGACUUGAGGUCACUCAGACGAAAGUCCCCACCGAGUCCACGACGCACCCUUAAGAGGCACGAUCACGAGUCUGCAUGAGAAUAUAAGCCCUAGAGGGCCAGUUCCUUGUCUCAUUCCCCUCUGAAUCGAAGUGCACAGCGCGAAAACACUAAGCAAAUAUUUACGGCGUGAAAACAUUGGUACAAACUGCAAGAAUCUUUGUUAAAUGACCAGGUUAACAAAUCUUCAGCCUGAGGAGCAUUUACACGACAGAGGAGAAAGGAGGAGAUCAGGAGCGGGGAUAUCUGUUCUCCCGCCCGCUGGCUUCAGCGCCGUCACCUUCAUCAGGAACAUCGGAGGGACACGUGUGCCGCGGAUGCGCGAGAUAAGGCUCCGCUCUCCGCAAGGACCAGCGGAAUCAGCUCCGUCUGCCUGUGGCGCCUGAGCGGGUGACUUGAGCGGGUGACUUGACCGGUCUGGCUGGGCCUGGCUCAGGCCGAAGUUCUGAAGCCGAAAGGGCCCCGGGUAUCUCUCCCUCUCCCCCGAUCUUCUCUAACUGUCAAGCCUGCUUCAGAGCCGGGGUGUCUUUAGCAGCUAUCUGACGAGAUCUCGGCUGAUCGGGUUUCGGGACAUGAGUGGCUGGCCGGAUAGAUAAGUCCGGAUGGAGGCAACCAACGGAUUUCUCACCAGGUGGAGGAGUUGUGAUGGCACCGAAAACCUACAGCCAGGCAGGAUGGCGCUCUCCUGUAAUCCCAGCACUUGAGAGGCUGAGACAGGAGGAUCGCCAUGUAUUCAAACCCAGC